UUAACCGGAUUAGAUACCCUGGUAGUCCACGCCCUAAACGAUGUCUACUAGUUGUCGGGUCUUAAUUGACUUGGUAACGCAGCUAACGCGUGAAGUAGACCGCCUGGGGAGUACGGUCGCAAGAUUAAAACUCAAAGGAAUUGACGGGGACCCGCACAAGCGGUGGAUGAUGUGGAUUAAUUCGAUGCAACGCGAAAAACCUUACCUACCCUUGACAUGGAUGGAAUCCCGAAGAGAUUUGGGAGUGCUCGAAAGAGAACCAUCACACAGGUGCUGCAUGGCUGUCGUCAGCUCGUGUCGUGAGAUGUUGGGUUAAGUCCCGCAACGAGCGCAACCCUUGUCAUUAGUUGCUACGAAAGGGCACUCUAAUGAGACUGCCGGUGACAAACCGGAGGAAGGUGGGGAUGACGUA
rnacentral:rRNA from 1 species